CUUCCGCCGGCGACCGGCGCACGGGUGAGUAGCACGUAUGCAACCUGCCCCUGUCAGGGGGACAACCCGCCGAAAGGCGGGCUAAACCCGCGUACAUGCCACCGGGGCAUCCCGGAGGCAGGAAAGGCUUCGGCCGGACAGGGAUGGGCAUGCGGCGCAUUAGGCAGUAGGCGGGGUAACGGCCCACCUAACCGACGAUGCGUAGGGGUUCUGAGAGGAAGGUCCCCCACACUGGUACUGAGACACGGACCAGACUCCUACGGGAGGCAGCAG
rnacentral:rRNA from 1 species